rnacentral:rRNA from 1 species
UUCCGUAGGGUGAACCUGCGGAGGGAUCAUUACACAAAUAUGAAGGCGGGCUGGAAUCUCUCGGGGUUACAGCCUUGCUGAAUUAUUCACCCUUGUCUUUUGCGUACUUCUUGUUUCCUUGGUGGGUUCGCCCACCACUAGGACAAACAUAAACCUUUUGUAAUUGCAAUCAGCGUCAGUAACAAAUUAAUAAUUACAACUUUCAACAACGGAUCUCUUGGUUCUGGCAUCGAUGAAGAACGCAGCGAAAUGCGAUAAGUAGUGUGAAUUGCAGAAUUCAGUGAAUCAUCGAAUCUUUGAACGCACAUUGCGCCCUUUGGUAUUCCAAAGGGCAUGCCUGUUCGAGCGUCAUUUGUACCCUCAAGCUUUGCUUGGUGUUGGGCGUCUUGUCUCUAGCUUUGCUGGAGACUCGCCUUAAAGUAAUUGGCAGCCGGCCUACUGGUUUCGGAGCGCAGCACAAGUCGCACUCUCUAUCAGCAAAGGUCUAGCAUCCAUUAAGCCUUUUUUCAACUUUUGACCUCGGAUCAGGUAGGGAUACCCGCUGAACUUAAGCAUAUCAAUAAGCGGAGGA